AGUGAACGCUGGCGGCGUGCUUAACACAUGCAAGUCGAACGAGAACGGAAUAUAGCUUGCUAUAUUUGUCAGCUAAGUGGCGCACGGGUGAGUAAUGUAUAGAUAACCUGCCCUUAAGAAAGGAAUAACAGUUGGAAACGACUGCUAAUGCCCUAUAUGCCUUUAAUACAUAAGUAUGCAAGGGAAACGCUUUAGUGCUUAAGGAUGGGUCUGUAUGGUAUCAGCUUGUUGGUGAGGUAAUGGCUCACCAAGGCUAUGACGCCUAACUGGUUUGAGAGGAUGAUCAGUCACACUGGAACUGAGACACGGUCCAGACUCCUACGGGAGGCAGCAGUGGGGAAUAUUGCACAAUGGACGAAAGUCUGAUGCAGCAACGCCGCGUGGAGGAUGACACAUUUCGGUGCGUAAACUCCUUUUAUAUAGGAAGAUAAUGACGGUACUAUAUGAAUAAGCACCGGCUAACUCCGUGCCAGCAGCCGCAGUAA
rnacentral:rRNA from 1 species